rnacentral:rRNA from 1 species
UACGAAGGGGGCUAGCGUUGCUCGGAAUUACUGGGCGUAAAGGGCGCGUAGGCGGACAGUUUAGUCAGAGGUGAAAGCCCCAGGGCUCAACCUUGGAAUUGCCUUUGAUACUGGCUGUCUUGAGUUCGGGAGAGGUGAGUGGAAUGCCGAGUGUAGAGGUGAAAUUCGUAGAUAUUGGGAAGAACACCGGUGGCGAAGGCGGCUCUCUGGACCGAGACUGACGCUGAGGCGCGAAAGCGUGGGGAGCAAACAGG